rnacentral:rRNA from 1 species
GACGAACGCUAGCGGCAGGCUUAACACAUGCAAGUCGAGGGGUAGAGGAAGCUUGCUUCCUUGAGACCGGCGCACGGUGCGUAACGCGUAUGCAAUCUACCUUAUACAGGGGGAUAGCCCAGAGAAAUUUGGAUUAAUACCCCAUAGUAUAAUUGAAUGGCAUCAUUUGAUUAUUAAAAGUUCCAACGGUAUAAGAUGAGCAUGCGUCCCAUUAGCUAGUUGGUGUGGUAACGGCACACCAAGGCGACGAUGGGUAGGGGUCCUGAGAGGGAGAUCCCCCACACUGGUACUGAGACACGGACCAGACUCCUACGGGAGGCAGCAGUGAGGAAUAUUGGUCAAUAGGCGCAAGCCUGAACCAGCCAUGCCGCGUGCAGGAUGACGGUCCUAUGGAUUGUAAACUGCUUUUGUACAGGAAGAAACACUCCCUCGUGAGGGAGCUUGACGGUACUGUAAGAAUAAGGAUCGGCUAACUCCGUGCCAGCAGCCGCGGUAAUC